UGCAAUGUCACUGGAUCCUUGAGAUGUCCU
rnacentral:piRNA from 1 species